CAGCAGCCGCGGUAAUACGAGGGGGGCAAGCGUUGUUCGGAAUUAUUGGGCGUAAAGGGUGCGUAGGCGGUUUGGCAAGUUUCGUGUGAAAACUUCGGGCUCAACCCGAAGCCUGCACGGAAAACUGCCGGGCUUGAGUAUGGGAGAGGUGAGUGGAAUUUCCGGUGUAGCGGUGAAAUGCGUAGAUAUCGGAAGGAACACCUGUGGCGAAAGCGGCUCACUGGACCAUAACUGAUGCUGAGGCACGAAAGCUAGGGGAGCAAACAGGAUUAGAGACCCCUGUAGUCCCUGUCUCUUAUAC
rnacentral:rRNA from 1 species